GAUUGCCCUAGUAACGGCGAGUGAACAGGCAAGAGCUCAGAUUUGAAAGCCUUUUUGGCAUUGUAUUCUGAAGUCAGUUUCCUGAGUAUCGAUGUUUAAGUCUUCUGGAAAGAAGCGCCAUGGAGGGUGAUAGCCCCGUAAGACAUCACACUCAUUGUAGGAUUCUGACGUGGAGUCGAGUUGUUUGGGAAUGCAGCUCUAAAGGGUGGUAUGCUCCAUCUAAAGCUAAAUAUCUGUGAGAGACCGAUAGCGAACAAGUACUGUGAAGGAAAGAUGAAAAGAACUUUGAAAAGAGAGUGAAAUAGUACGUGAAAUUGUUGAAAUGGAAGGAUAGGCCGCUAACCAUGUAGAGCCGUGUUUGGGGGGAAGAAAAAAGCUGAAGAAUGUGGCUCCUCGGAGUGUUAUAGCUUCAGUCAAUAUUCCCACCUGGGCGCGAGGAUCUCAGGCUCUACUAAAUGGUGGUCUAUCACCCGUCUUGAAACACGGACCAAGGAGUCUAUUGCCUGCGCGAGUAUUUGGGUGGCAAACCCAUAUGCGAAGUGAAAGCGAGUGGUUCCAACCUUCGGGGGCAGAAUCAGCCGACCGUUCAUAGGAGCGGAUUGAGUGGAGCGUGGGUGAUGGGACCCGAAAGAUGGUGAACUAUGCCUGAAUAGGGUGAAGCCAGAGGAAACUCUGGUGGAGGCUCGUAGCGGUUCUGACGUGCAAAUCGAUCGUCAAAUUUGGGUAUAGGGGCGAAAGACUAAUCGAACCAUCUAGUAGCUGGUUCCUGCCG
rnacentral:rRNA from 1 species